rnacentral:rRNA from 1 species
AAUCAAGCGCGAAAGGGCAUUUGGUGGAUGCCUUGGCAUGCACAGGCGAUGAAGGACGUGAUAUGCUGCGAUAAGCUAUGGGGAGCUGCAAAUAAGCAUUGAUCCGUAGAUUUCCGAAUGGGGUAACCCGCCUUAUGUGCCUAGGAAACUGAACUAAGUUGGUUUAAUUUUCUAGGUAUUUUGAAGGUAUCUUUAUCUGAAUGAAAUAGGGUAAAAGAAGCGAACGCAGGGAACUGAAACAUCUAAGUACCUGUAGGAAAGGACAUCAAUUGAGACUCCGUUAGUAGUGGCGAGCGAACGCGGAUCAGGCCAGUGGUAGGAAAGAUUUAAGUAGAAUUACCUGGGAAGGUAAGCCAUAGUGUGUGAUAGCCCCGUAUACGUAAUAAUUUUUUCUAUCCUUGAGUAGGGCGGGACACGUGAAAUCCUGUCUGAAUAUGGGGCGACCCACGCUCCAAGCCUAAGUACUCGUGCAUGACCGAUAGUGAACUAGUACCGUGAGGGAAAGGCGAAAAGAACCCCUAUGAGGGGAGUGAAAUAGACCCUGAAACCGAAUGCCUACAAACAGUCGAAGGCCGCGAGGCUGACGGCGUACCUUUUGUAUAAUGGGUCAACGACUUAGUGUGACAAGCGAGCUUAAGCCGGUAGGUGUAGGCGUAGCGAAAGCGAGUCUGAAUAGGGCGGUUUAGUUUGUUGCAUUAGACCCGAAACCGAGUGAUCUAGCCAUGAGCAGGUUGAAGGUUGGGUAACACCAAUUGGAGGACCGAACCCGUAUCUGUUGCAAUAGAUUGGGAUGACUUGUGGCUAGGGGUGAAAGGCCAAUCAAACUCGGAGAUAGCUGGUUCUCCGCGAAAUCUAUUUAGGUAGAGCGUUAACUGAAUACCCUCGGGGGUAGAGCACUGGAUAGGCUAUGGGGGCUUACCGCCUUACUGCUCCUAACCAAACUCCGAAUACCGAGGAGUACUAGUUGGCAGACACACAGUGGGUGCUAACGUCCAUUGUGGAGAGGGCAACAACCCUGACCUCCAUCUAAGGUCCCGAAGUCAUGGCUAAGUGGGAAAGGAUGUGAAGAUCCCAAAACAACCAGGAUGUUGGCUUAGAAGCAGCCAUCAUUUAAAGAAAGCGUAACAGCUCACUGGUCUAGAUAAGGAUUUUUGCGCCGAAAAUGUAACGGGGCUAAAGCCAUGCACCGAAGAUGAGGAUUUGUUUAUUUUUAAACGAGUGGUAGCGGAGCGUUCCGUAAA